CUCUCUCUCAUCAAUCUUCUCUCUCUCUCAUGUUAAACUUGGUGACUUUGUGGAUUAUUUUUUCUUCUUUCAGGAUUAUCAGGAUGUUGAUUUUGGGAUUAGAGAGGGUGUUAAUUUUAGGACAUAGAUUUUGGGAUUGGAGAAGAUUGCAAGGGAGCCGGCUGAGACUGGGGGUUCACCUAGGGUGCUUGACGCUGAGAAGUCGUUUUAUUAUCACGGGGAGAGCUUGAGGCAAGCAUUGGCUGAUGAUUUGCACCAAAGGCUUUCUACAAGAUAGGACAUAAAGUCUUUGAGGAAUGGAUGACUAUGAACACUGAACACCUUUGCUUCUCUGGCUGAGUUUACUUGGCUUUCUGCAAGUAUAAGCUGAGAUAUAGGAUUGGUGGCAAAACGAUAGCUUUUGUGGACUACUUGAACUCAAAUAUAUUGGUGGCAAAACGAUAGCUUUUGUGGACUACUUGAACUCAAAUAGUUUCUGUAAAGUUUGGAAGCUAAGACAUCAUUUGUAUAUAAAUGGUUGUAAUUACUUUGUGAACAUCUUUAUUGCAAUUUUAGAUUGUAUGGAUGUUUUUUUUAUGGAUUUGGUUAGAAAUGAA